rnacentral:tRNA from 1 species
UGUAGUUUGGUGUACUAUGUGCAUGUUGCGGUUUGGUCGCAGAGGUGAUUGGUUAUUGACUGCAG